GCUGGAGGUAUCAGAAGUGCGAAUGCUGACAUAAGUAACGAUAAAGCGGGUGAAAAGCCCGCUCGCCGGAAGACCAAGGGUUCCUGUCCAACGUUAAUCGGGGCAGGGUGAGUCGACCCCUAAGGCGAGGCCGAAAGGCGUAGUCGAUGGGAAACGGGUUAAUAUUCCCGUACUUGGUGUUACUGCGAAGGGGGGACGGAGAAGGCUAUGUUGGCCGGGCGACGGUUGUCCCGGUUUAAGCGUGUAGGUGUGUGUUCCAGGUAAAUCCGGUUCACUUUAACACUGAGGCGUGACGACGAGGCACUACGGUGCUGAAGCAACAAAUGCCCUGCUUCCAGGAAAAGCCUCUAAGCAUCAGGUAACAUCAAAUCGUACCCCAAACCGACACAGGUGGUCAGGUAGAGAAUACCAAGGCGCUUGAGAGAACUCGGGUGAAGGAACUAGGCAAAAUGGUGCCGUAACUUCGGGAGAAGGCACGCUGACAUGUAGGUGAAGUGAUUUACUCAUGGAGCUGAAGUCAGUCGAAGAUACCAGCUGGCUGCAACUGUUUAUUAAAAACACAGCACUGUGCAAACACGAAAGUGGACGUAUACGGUGUGACGCCUGCCCGGUGCCGGAAGGUUAAUUGAUGGGGUCAGCGCAAGCGAAGCUCCUGAUCGAAGCCCCGGUAAACGGCGGCCGUAACUAUAACGGUCCUAAGGUAGCGAAAUUCCUUGUCGGGUAAGUUCCGACCUGCACGAAUGGCGUAAUGAUGGCCAGGCUGUCUCCACCCGAGACUCAGUGAAAUUGAACUCGCUGUGAAGAUGCAGUGUACCCGCGGCAAGACGGAAAGACCCCGUGAACCUUUACUAUAGCUUGACACUGAACAUUGAGCCUUGAUGUGUAGGAUAGGUGGGAGGCUUUGAAGUGUGGACGCCAGUCUGCAUGGAGCCGACCUUGAAAUACCACCCUUUAAUGUUUGAUGUUCUAACGUGGACCCGUAAUCCGGGUUGCGGACAGUGUCUGGUGGGUAGUUUGACUGGGGCGGUCUCCUCCUAAAGAGUAACGGAGGAGCACGAAGGUUGGCUAAUCCUGGUCGGACAUCAGGAGGUUAGUGCAAUGGCAUAAGCCAGCUUGACUGCGAGCGUGACGGCGCGAGCAGGUGCGAAAGCAGGUCAUAGUGAUCCGGUGGUUCUGAAUGGAAGGGCCAUCGCUCAACGGAUAAAAGGUACUCCGGGGAUAACAGGCUGAUACCGCCCAAGAGUUCAUAUCGACGGCGGUGUUUGGCACCUCGAUGUCGGCUCAUCACAUCCUGGGGCUGAAGUAGGUCCCAAGGGUAUGGCUGUUCGCCAUUUAAAGUGGUACGCGAGCUGGGUUUAGAACGUCGUGAGACAGUUCGGUCCCUAUCUGCCGUGGGCGCUGGAGAACUGAGGGGGGCUGCUCCUAGUACGAGAGGACCGGAGUGGACGCAUCACUGGUGUUCGGGUUGUCAUGCCAAUGGCACUGCCCGGUAGCUAAAUGCGGAAGAGAUAAGUGCUGAAAGCAUCUAAGCACGAAACUUGCCCCGAGAUGAGUUCUCCCUGAGACUU
rnacentral:rRNA from 1 species